UCAAAUAAAAGACCGUGUCCUAUGAAUUUUACAUCAGCGGGGUCCUCGUUUCCGUGUCUGUAUCGUGUCCCGUGUCCGUGUCCGAGUUCGGAUUUCAUAGAUCACUUCUCAACAAUUCCAGUGAUUCCGUUCCAGUUUCUCGUGACUUAGUUUCUCAUCCUCACAGCCCAACAACUGAAGCAACAAGGUUUUCUUUUCCAUUUCAAAGUUUACUUUUUUGCGCAUCGAUUACCAUGUCUAGAGCACCCAUAAUGAUUGUUGAUUUGAAGAUUGGUAACAAUGUAUGGAAGCUUGCCAUUCAUGGCGUUGAUCGGUGCAGAUUAGUUAUUAGCUUUCUACUGUUAUUUAUUUACCUGGUUUAUUUAUUGCUUGAAAAGGUCUUAAAUUAUAGAAACAGAUUAUGUAAUUUUCAGCUUGAUAUAACAAACUAUUCAUUUCAACUUGAUACAUGGAACUGAAACUGAUUGAUA